CUCUUUUUUUAAGAGAUUAUCACUUAAUCUUUGUUAGUGUCGUAUAUGUAAUUAUGCACAGUAGUUUUUUCGUGGGAUUGGAUUGAAACAAUGUUAGAAUCUCUUCUUUCUCUCUGAAGAAAUUUGCACUCUUUUCACCAACAAUUUGUUUUAUUUUUUUAUUACUAUGCAGCCGUUAGUGGGGAAGUAGGCUACUUCCUGCUUCGUUUUAGUGUUUUAGUAUGGAUUUUGAAUGUUUUCUUUCCUGGUUCAAGAUUUGGGUUUUGGAUCUGGGAAUUAGGUUCAUAGUUAUAUUAUUCAUAAAUGCUUUCUGAACUUGUUCUUUUAUUUUCUUUUAUCUUCUCCUUGAAUUGUAAGGUUAGGGUUUGUUUCUGCUCUAAAAGCUUUAGCAUAUUUUAAGCCCUUGUUUCUGCUUCUAUAUGUUGAUACUCGUUCUAGUUUGGGCUAGGAUCUUGGUUAAGAAACAUGGAGAAAACGUAAAGACUAGUAAAUUUUGGUUUAUGUUCCAUGUUGUUUUAGUUUUAACAGCAGUGGUAGUUGAAUCAACCCUUGAUUUGAUUACCUUUGAUUUAUCUUCUUCAAGCUUUUUUAUUUAGCAAAUUCAGUUGUUCACUGUAGUCUCAAUCCUGUAGAUUUUUAUCAUUGGCCAUUUCUAUUUAGUUUUAAAAAAUGGCAACCUUGAAUGUUUGACAAAUUCUUUGAAACACUUCUUCUUUAGUUCUUAAAUUUGUUUAUAGCUCAUGCCAAGCCUUUAUAAUAUGCUUUGAUUACAUAUAAAAGUCCCCCUUCUAGAUCUCGUCAGUGGAGAACCGGAAAUUGGGAUUUCAGUUUCGGGUUUUGCACAACAUUUGACAAUGAGAGAGAGCACGCCCGUUUCCAUUCAUGUGAGGCCGUGGAUGUGUACAAGCGUGCUCUCUGUCAUUGUCAUAUAUAUGAUUUGUGCAAAGCUGUCAUUUCUUGGUAUCUAUCUUUGUUGUUGCAGCAGAUAGCAGGCGAGAUUAGGGUACGGGAUGCAGAAUGUUUCUGACAUUUCAUCGUAAAAGUGGAGGAAGAGGAGUAAGACAGUGAAGUGCCAAUCCAUCUUUUCUCAGGUUUGAACUAUACAUCUACUCCCUCGGCCCUUUUCAACUUUUCCCUUUUGAUAUCCGUGUUCGGAAUACCCGAAUUCUAUUGAAACCAUUAAUCCUCUAGUUUAUUUGAGUUGAAGUUGUGAUAGUAAUUAGAGAGGAAGAUGGACAAUCGAUAUGUGGUAUAGGUUGAAAGUGGUGGCUAGGAUGAAGAUGACUGUUGUAGAAGGGUAAUUAUGACAAAAAGAAUGAACUUUAAACAAAACAUAUUUAAAUGUGAACAAUUGUGAAUGCUUUGUUUCAUUUAGGCAUGUAUGGUGAAAUUUGUUUUGUGCUUAUUGCUGUCUUCCUCAUCUUUUUCUCCGUUUAUUCACUACAACAUUCACAGAUACUGUUUGCACCAAAUAACCUU